rnacentral:rRNA from 1 species
UACGUAGGGCGCAAGCGUUAUCCGGAAUUAUUGGGCGUAAAGAGCUUGUAGGCGGUUUGUCGCGUCUGCUGUGAAAUUUCGGGGCUCAACCCCGAACUUGCAGUGGGUACGGGCAGACUAGAGUGUGGUAGGGGAGACUGGAAUUCCUGGUGUAGCGGUGAAAUGCGCAGAUAUCAGGAGGAACACCGGUGGCGAAGGCGGGUCUCUGGGCCGUAACUGACGCUGAGGAGCGAAAGCAUGGGGAGCGAACAGG